GCAAGUCUGAGCCAGCCAUGCCGCGUGAAGGAUGAAGGUCCUCUGGAUUGUAAACUUCUUUUAUCUGGGACGAAAACGGGAUUUUUAUCUCAAUUGACGGUACCAGAGGAAUAAGCACAGGCUAACUCCGUGCCAGCAGCCGCGGUAAUACGGAGGGUGCGAGCGUUAUCCGGAUUUACUGGGUUUAACGGGUGCGUAGGUGGGCUUAUAAGUCAGUGGUGAAAUCUCCGAGCUUAACUUGGAAACUGCCGGUGAUACUAUAGGUCUUGAAUUAUCUGGAGGUAUGCGUAAUAUGUCAUGUAGCUGUGAAAUGCUUAGAUAUGACAUAGAACACCAAAUGCGAAGGCAGCUUACUACAUAUAAAUUGACGCUGAGGCACGAAAGCGUGGGGAUCAAACA
rnacentral:rRNA from 1 species